GCUAAUAUAGGUAGAUACUCAGAUAUACUCUUUCUGUUAAUUCAUUGUAUUGUAUGUUGAGGUUCGGCAGACCAAUAAAAUAUUAUGUUAAACUCUAGGCAUAUGCAUUAGUGUUCAAUAUAUUAUUUAAUCUAUUGGUUUUUUCUUAAGAGGUUGUAUAGCUAGGAUCUAUGUACUCGAACCUAUAAUUCUUUCCCAAUUGUUAUGGAAUCAAAGAAGGCACAAUUGUUAAGAAGGUUAAAAAGAGCAAAGGGUUGAAGAGUGUGAAGCUUUUGCCGAAAAUAGCAGCGCACAGGUGCUGAAAAAAUUGUCAAAUGUACCGUCCAAAGUUUGUGCAGCAAAAGAUGUGAGGGAUUUCUAUAAUUUGUUGGCUAAAUGAUUUGUCAAUCAAGAUCAUGGUGGAAGAAUGGAGAUUAGAUGUGGCAGACAUGUGAAAUAAUGAUGAAAAGUUUGAAAUGAUGUGGUCACCUUUUGCUUGAUAAUCUACUAUACUAGCUCUUUAAAGUUUUAAUCCCAAAAUUGUUUCCAUAUUAUUGAGAAGAAUGAAUUUAAGGCUGGCUCUAUUAUUA